rnacentral:rRNA from 1 species
CAGGGGGUGCAAACGUUGCUCGGAAUUAUUGGGCGUAAAGCGCGCGUAGGCGGUCUUGUAAGUCGGAUGUGAAAUCCCUCGGCUUAACUGAGGAAGUGCAUCCGAAACUGCAAGGCUUGAGUACGAAAGAGGAUCGCGGAAUUCCCGGUGUAGAGGUGAAAUUCGUAGAUAUCGGGAGGAACACCGGUGGCGAAGGCGGCGAUCUGGGUCGAGACUGACGCUGAGGCGCGAAAGCGUGGGGAGCAAACAGGAUUAGAUACCCUGGUAGUCCACGCCGUAAACGAUGGGUGCUAGAUGUUGCUGGUAUUGACCCCGGCAGUGUCGUAGCUAACGCGUUAAGCACCCCGCCUGGGGAGUACGGCCGCAAGGCUA